GGACCUCCUGUUCUUGUGUGUUUGACUAGCAUAAUGAGGUAAAGAAGUCUUUAAUUUAUCCAUUUACUACUAUUUGAUGACUGCAGUUUCUCUCAUUUAGAGAAAGACAUUGUCCUUGGACUUCAGGAAAAAAAAGCUACAGAACCUUUAAAUUCUUUCUGAUGUUUAAAGACUCAGAAAGCUGUAUGUUGGAAGAACACAGAUAUAACUAAUACCCUUUUU
rnacentral:lncRNA from 1 species